rnacentral:rRNA from 1 species
AACGUAGGAGACAAACGUUAUCCGGAGUUACUGGGCGUAAAGGGCGUGCAGGUGGCUGUUUAAGUUCGGCGUGAAAGCCUCCGGCUAAACCGGGGGAGGUCGUCGGAAACUGGACAGCUCGAGGGUGAUAGAGGCGGGUGGAAUUCCGGGUGUAGUGGUGAAAUGCGUAGAGAUCCGGAGGAACACCAGUGGCGAAGGCGACCCGCUGGGUCACACCUGACACUGAGACGGGACAGCAUGGGGAGCGAACGGGAUUAGAAGGCCCAGUAGUCC